AAUCAACGCUGGCGGCGUGCCUCAGACAUGCAAGUCGAACGAUUAAAGCUCUCUUCGGAGAGUGCAUAAAGUGGCGCACGGGUGAGUAACACGUAAGUAAUCUACCUUCGAGUGGGGAAUAACGUCCGGAAACGGACGCUAAUACCGCAUAACGCAGCGGCAUCGCAAGAUGACAGUUGUUAAAGAUUUAUCGCUUGAAGAGGAGCUUGCGGCAGAUUAGCUUGUUGGUAAGGUAACGGCUUACCAAGGCUACGAUCUGUAUCCGGUCUAAGAGGACGGUCGGACACACUGACACUGAAUAACGGGUCAGACUCCUACGGGAGGCAGCAGUGGGGAAUCUUGCGCAAUGGGCGAAAGCCUGACGCAGCGACGCCGCGUGAGGGAGGAAAUCCUUCGGGAUGUAAACCUCACAAGCAAGGGAAGAGAGCUCCGGACCGAAUAAGUUCGGAGUCCGACGGUACCUUGCGUAAGCCACGGCUAACUACGUGCCAGCAGCCGCGGUAA
rnacentral:rRNA from 1 species